UAUAUAUAUAUAACUUUAUCAUUUAUAAGGAUGAUAAAAUUGACUUAACCUUUCUGUUUUUCCCAGAAGCUACUUUCUGUAUAUAAUAUGGGUAGUUUCUCCAUUGGGGGGUUCGAUCAACAAAGGGAUAUAAUUCUAAGAUAUGAGUUUUAGAGAUUCUUUUUUAUCACUCUAUUUUUACAUUUAGCUCUUUGCAGGUAAAGCCCAUGUUCAGAUCUAAAUCUCUCACUACAACUUACACAGGGGCUUUCCACAUCCAGUGCUUACAGUUAAAAUUUAAUUUGGAAUGAAAAUGUAUUAAAAUUUUAAAAUGAUGUGGCAAUUAGACGAGAAGUUAUAUAUUUAUGUGGGGGAGGGGGUGGAUGGUUUGUAAAAGAGAUUUUUUUUUUGUAGUAUGCGAAGUUAAGUUUCUCCAGAUAGAAAUGGUUGGAGCUUCUGUAACCAUCUUUUAAGUUUUCUAGAAUUUUAUGUAUGUUAUUUUUUAUUAUAAAUUAUAAAAUAAAUUAUACAUAAUGUAUAAUCUUCAAAUGUAGGAAGAAAAUUAAUCUAAAAUGGAACCUUUGAUGUCAUGAAAAGAUUUAGCAUUAUAUCAAGCCCUGAGUUUGUUUGUUUUCUUUCUGGUAGAGAAAGAGGCAGACAAUCGUGUGUAACUUGGCAUUUUGGUCUGAUGGCAAAACUUGGUAAUAAGUUUUUCUGUUGUUGCCCGUGAAAGCUUUGAUGCCUUGGUGGCUAUUUUCCUCAGGGAACAGUAACACCCAGUAGUAGGAAAUGGAAACAGAUAAAAUCCUAGUUUUUUUUUUUUUUUUUUUUUUUAAUAGUCUUCACACUGUAACAAGUUAACAAUUAAUUCAAUUCAGAAAAUCACAUUAAAACAACAUUAGAAAUAUGACUCAACCAAGUAAGGUCUAAGAAGGUCAAAGCGUGACACAUUAUCUUUUGCUAAUUUGUGAAUGCAAAAUUCCUUAGGCACCAAGGGACAUUUCUACCAGUGAAAGACUUUCUGGGCUUGAACGUGGCAUAGAGUCAAAUGAUUAGGUAUGAGUUCCCGAUUUUUAAGUGACCUCUGUAACAUUAUGUUGGUGGUUGAGUUAGACUCAUUUUUUUUUGUUUGUUUUCAUUCACAACUGUGUGUGUGUGUAUGCACAUGACUGUGUGUGUUUUCUACAGAUGUUCAUGUUCAGAGGCAUUUUUGAUGUUUCAUUUUCAGUGGUGAUAGGUAAGUUGAUGUUUUGUACUGCUGACCCAGAGGCUGGCACUGCCCCAAAAGCAGAGGCAGGGGAAUUCCCACAAGGGAGUAACCCAACCAUCUUGUUGUGGUGCUGAUUGGGAUUCCAAAGAAAGAAGUGCGAAGCCACCGGGUUGAUUUAUCAGGGGAACUUAUGCACAGAAUGCUGCUGUAUGUCCUCGUGAUGGACAGUGAGAGAAUAGGAAUGUUCUACUGUGGUAUGCCCGCUGUGAGCAGGUAUGGAGUAUACAUGAAGGCUUAAGGAAUUUGGCUCAGGGUUGGGGCCAAUAUCUUUCAGUGUUUUGGGCAACAAUCUCGAUACCUUUAUUAGUGCCUGGGAAUGUUCAAGGCCCUGGUUUGAGUUCAAGCCUGCUGGGAAACACCUGCAGUUGGCUGGGCACUUUGUGAUUUUUCAGUCAUGAUGUAGAAAGAAAGCAGGGGAAACUAGGGGACCCUACAGAUAUGACCAGGAUGACUGCUUUAGUGGAAUUUUGUGUUCUCAGGAUAAUAUAAAAAACUCAACUCACAACCAAGGAAACUUGAAAUGACCUGGGGAAACAUGUGUCUUUAAAAAACUGUAUCAAAGGAAGAAAACUCCAAAUUCUAAUUCAGAGGCUUUCUAUGUUGAAGUAUAGACUUUUAUGUUCACAUGUCUCCUAAGAUGAUUAUAUGAUGGUUUAACUAUUUGAGAAUGAAGAUAUUUUAUUUUUUCUUAAGAGAAGAACUAUGACACUGUAUACCACCUUGUGAAGCUUAAAAGCAAAAAAGAAAACAUAUUCUCUUAACCAUUUGUAGUUAGAGGUUGGUUUUCUAAAAUAAUAAUUUAUUUAAAAAUUAUGACUUUGUAAUAGAAUUUCUAUUUUCAUAUGAGGAAUAAAUGUGUUCCUCAAAUUCUUAGUUGACAUAUGGAAUUGUAAAUGACAAAAUGACAAAUUAUAUAUUUUUUAUGAAAGAAAAUUCUGAGAAGUCAGGUGAAAUUACCCAAACAAAUUAGAACAAAAAAGUUAUUGUAGGGCUGGACAAAUGAAAAUCUUGAAUUAGCCCUA
rnacentral:lncRNA from 10 species